GAAUAUUUUCCCACCUAGGUUAUCACAGAAUAUUGGGUAGAGUUCUCUGUGUUAUAUAGUGGGUCCCCACUGACCACCAUUCCAUAUACAAUAGUGCCAGCACUAUUUUUAAUAAAGGUAUAUUGAUUUGAUGUUUCAGCUUUAGGAGACAAGAUGUGAUCUGUAUUUAUAUCAUAUGAACUUUAUUAUAUGAUGUUUUAUAUGAUGUUUAUGUUUUUUUAUAUGAUGUUCAGCUUUAUGAGACAUGAUGUGUCUGUAUUUAUAUCAUAUGAACUGUGAAAGAGCUUUCUUCCUGAAUGCAAGUCUUUACUUUUAAAUGAUGACAUUAUUUCUAAAACCUACCAGCUUACCUGUUUAUAUUGAAAUAGGCACUAUUAGACACUUGUCUUGGAAGUAUAGAUAAAUAUACCCAUUUGCGAUGGUAACUGGUACCAUGUGUCAUGAAUCUAAAACAUGCUUAUCCCUUUUACCUAGUAAAUUAUCAUUUGGAGACCAUGCUAGAGAAAAAAACACUAAAGUAACCCCAAGGCUUCUGUGAACAAAAUUUCCAUUAAUGCAUUGUUCCUUAACAGUGACAAAGAGGCAAUUUCCUACAUGUUCAAAUACAAGGGAAAGAUUAAGUAAAUUAUGGCAUAGUUUCCUCCAUUAUACAUAAUAAUAAACAUGUCUUAAUAAGGAAAUUAAUUUUGAAGGACACAGUAUAGCAACUCCAUCCAUAUUAUUAUUACCUAACUAAAACAUCACAUUUAUGUUUUAAUGUCUUUUCUUCAUUCUGUGGUUUUUCAAGGAGGAUAAAAGAAGGUGAAAGUUUCAGUAUAAGAUAACCUUGGUAAGAAUAUUUUAUAAGCCAUAAAACAGUAAGUACUGAGACAUGUGCAUCUCAGUCUGAUGAUCCAAGCUGGCUCAAUUGCAAAGUCAAAUGUGCAGCAGACAAUGCUAGGUAUUCAUGUGAUGUAUGAAUACCUAAUGGAUUUUUGGGGGAGGCCAAAUAAAAGACACUUUUGGCCUGAUAACUGAUUCUGGUUCUGUAAGGAUCCCUUUCUAAUCCUUACUUUACUUGAGGUAGGUACCAGAUGCAAACUAAUCAUUCACUGAAGAUAAAGCUCAGAAACUGGUUGAGGGUGAGCGGGGCAAUAGGAAGAGGAUGAGGGGCACAUUAUUUCACAGAAAGCAUAAUGCAUCCCAUCCAUUUGGUAUUGUCCCCACUAAGAUUUUUUUUAAAGAACUCUAUGGAGAAGAUGGGGUAUAAAGACAGUUAGCUAAGCACAUGGAGUUUCUAUUCUUUUUGUAAGACAUGACAAGCAAGUGAGCAGGGCAUUAAAACCCAGUCAUUGACUGUUUAUAGGUAGAUCACAGAUUGAAUCACAGAGUGGAGGAAUGACAAGGCUAAUUAAUAGUAAGCAACCUAAUCAGAGAACUAUGGUAGCUAUAAAAUGAAGUCAGUAGAACUAGAAAAGAUGGUCAGAGUGAAAAGUUGACAAUUAGGAUUUCCAGCCACAUAUAAUACGUAACUUUAUCCCUCAGGACCCAGAGGAGAGAGGAUUUUCUCCUCCUUUCACUGUAGGCUUAUGGUUCUCCUGGUAGGAGGAACCUGGGAAAAUGAAUCAUACAAAGUCAUUUCAUCAACUUAAUUCCUUAAAUUUACCCUGGCUAACUGUUACAGAUCCUCGGGACAAUAACCAGGGUGUUCAGAAGGGAAGAUGUCCACUGUAUCUGGUUUUUUUUCUUGUAGAACUUGCCACAGUUUUCAAUUAUAUAGUAAUUUGUCUGUUUAGUGUCUGAAGCCUCCACUGGACUGUAAGCUCGAUGGGAUCAGAUACCUUUUCUGUCUACCAUUGUAUUUUCUCUGGCUAGCAAAAUGGUGGUAUUGAAGGAAAAAGAGAGUCAUAUGUGGUGAAAUGAGACAAUUUUGGCUGCCGAGAGGGAAGGGAAAAGGGAGAGUUUGACAUUCGAGACCAUGCAAACAUCACUCUUGGAAAUGCUUUGUUGCCAAAGGAGUGGAAAGGUCCAGGCAGAAGAAAGACAGAAACCCUAAGCAAUGUGGAAGCCUGAGAAAACUGUCUGAGAAAAAAAUCUACUACCCAACAGAUAAACAAUGGUUAUAGGAAGCUGGCUUAUUUAGAGAGCAAAGAUCAUUUGGAAACAAGAGGAGCGAGAAGCAACCAGGAACCUAUUCUUGAGGAGUCACUUGGAACAUAGUUUUAAGUAAAGAAAAAGCUCUACUGAGCAUAUAUAUUCCACAUCCCAAAGAAUUUAAUAAGUCUCUUAUCCUUUACCAAAAGAGGAAAUGUGUCUGUGUUAAAAUGACCAAAUUUAAAAUUCUGCAGUUGAAGUUGUAUGAGAACUUUUUCCAGAGUUAUAUAUACUCUAAUGAUUAAACAAUCUAUACAAAUAAUGGAUGUAAAGCAGAUUUAUCAGUAUGUGUGUGUAUGUGGAGAGUGAGUGUGGACUAUAAGCAAAUGACAUUGAAAAAUAAUGAUUCUUACUUUGUAUGCUUUUCCUUUUCCUUCAUUCAUGCCUUCACAAGAGUUCUCCAGAGAAAUGGAAUCAGUAGGACUCAAUGGGUGGACCUAUGUUCUAUCCAUUUCUUUACUUAUUGUAAGGAAUGGGCUCUUAUGAUUGUGGAAGAAUGUCAAGAUCUACAAUUGAUGAGCCCAAACCCAGGAGCGCUGAUGGUUAAGUUCCAGUCUGAAAGUAAGAGAAGACCUGUGUCUGAGGUCAGACAGUAAGGAACUCAGGCAUGUGAACUCACGAUUAUACUGUAACAUGGUAUGUGACUGCAAAGGCCUCUGGAUCUACUGCUAAUUUUCUGCUAAGGACUGGGGGUGGCUAGGUAAAGUGUCAGAAAGGUUAAAUGAAUUUUCUAUUUUCCUCAAGUUAAGGGAUAAGGAAAAAAACUAGCAUAUAAAAGAUAUAGUGAUGAGAAUAACAUAGCACUUUUAUUAGAAUUGUAUGUUGGUUUGGUAUGGCUAGGACACAGUGUUUGCUGAAGAGGUGAGUGAUUAAAGGGUAACCAAGGGAUCAAAUUAUUAAGUGCCCCAUAUUAACAUUUGGUGGAAUGUGUAUGGCAGAAGUAGACAUUAAAAAUUCACAUCACCAUUAUAGAGAGAUGAAAUCUUGCCUUUGAGUUCUCCCAAAGUAAAACCCGAGGCAAGGGCUUUGGCGCAUGUAUUUUUCAUGUAAGUUAUACCAAAAAUCAGGAAGAAAGGAUGGAGGAGAGUGGGACAGUGAAGGAAGAAAGCCAGAAAUGGACAUGGUGCUUGAUUUUUGCUGUUCCUGGCAAUAGAGCGUUUGAUUCUUCAGGGACCUUAUCAGAAGCACAGGUAAUGACUUCCAGAACAAUUUAUCCAUAGAAUGGGGCGUGGGAUCUAUUGACAUGUUAUUGCAUUGAAUGUUUCGCCAGAGAUGUUAACUCCCCAGUAUUUCCAGAUAGUAUCUGUGACUUGCCUAAGUAGCCCCCAUGGCUUCAAGAACCCCCAAAGCAAAAAAGUGAAAAGAUAAUGGACAUGUUUAGUAUGGAAGUGUAUACUACAACUAUGACUGAAAUCUGAGAAGGAUAUAAACUCAUUUUCUACACAAAAGAAAACAGGUAGGAUAGACGCCUAGAUUUUAGUUAUACUGCAUAUCACCAUGGGGUCUGACUCCAGGAUUUGUUCUGCUCAUCAACUUUCUACUUGCUUUGCAGUUACACAGAAGCAAUUAUUGAAAAUAUUUUCACUUUCAUUAUGUUGGUGUCUGCUGCUCAGAGAAUCCAAACAAAGAUGGGAUUAAACAUACAAUAGCAUUAUAAGGACAGACCUGCAAGUUAAAAAAGGGGAGGGAGCCAGAAAAAGUCAGGAAGCGUAACAUCACUAAGACGGCAACACCAGUCAUUCCUAACUUUUCUCUUCCUCAUAGGAAGAACAAAUAACAACUACUCAUGGAUGAGACAUCACUAGAAUAAUUCUAGUAUGUGGAACUGAAGCUGAAGCAACUCUCUGCACCAUAUGGAUCAAAACAGACUGCAUUAAAUGGAUUCACCUAUUCUGGACAUUUUGCCAUAUACACAUGAAGUCAGAGAGCACUUGGAGUUCACAGUGAUAUCUGCUGAAAUUAAAAACCCAGCCAUUUCUUCUGCUUAUCAAUACAAGUGUAUUAUUACCUAAAACUCUUUACUAUACCUCCCACUAAAUUAUUUGUCGUUGUUGUUGUUUUUGGAAUAAAGCACAAAA